AGGCACAGUGAAGCCACAGAGCCAGAGUCGCUGCAGCCCCCGCUGCACCAUUGACAAGCCAGGACUCACACGGUCAACUCCUCGGGCCUAGAAAACAGCAGAAAGGGAAAGACAUAUGGAGCACAUCCUGGCCUUGGUCUGUGAUCAAUGGGGACGUCCAGCCGCAGAGAUGUAGGGCUGCAGUGAGGUUCCUGAGGGUGAAGAAGUCUGUUCUCUGCAGACAGCUGAGGAGAGAAAAGCAGAAAGUGGUGAAGUAUCUGAAGGAGAAGAGGAGAGGAGCAUGCCUGCUUCGAGCUCUGUGUGAGCAGAUGAGGAACACACUUAAACACAUGCCUGG
rnacentral:lncRNA from 1 species